ensembl:lncRNA
GGAAUAAAAUCCUUCAAAAAGGAGGAAAAUUUUUAAAAAUCCUUCAAAAAGGAGGAAAAAUGGAAUAAAAUCCUUCAAAAUGUGCUUUAAAAUGGAGGGAAAAUCCUUCAAAAUUAUGGAAAAUUCCUUCCAAAAUGAGGAAAAAUCCUGGCAAAUGGAAGGGAAUUCCUUCAAAGUGAGUGAGAACCCCUGGGAUGGAUGAAGAGGGGAGUGGGGUGGGAAUUCCUGGUGGGAUUGAGGCUGGAGAAGACCUCAAAAAUCGUGGAGUCAACCAAAGAUGGUCCAGGAAGAUCUCAAGAACUUGGAAAAGUCAGGUUUGAAACGGGAAAUGGAGGAAAUCCUCUGAGUUUUUCCCCCAAAACCACCUUGGAGAUGGUUGAAGUCUCCAGUGGGAAUCCGUGGUGGGCUUGAGGUUGGAAAAGACCUCGAAAAUCACGGAGUCGACCAGAGAUGGUCCAAGAAGAUGGAGGAGAACUCCAGAAGCAGCUUUUGAAUAAGAAAUUGAGGAAAUCCUCUGAAUUUUCCCCCCAAAACCACCAAUUUUUCAUCCCAAAACCACCUUGGAGAUGGUUGAGAUCUCCAGUGGGAACCCACGGUGGAACCUCUACUGAAGGUGACCCAAGAUCUCAAGAACCUGAAAACGGCACCUUUUAAACGAGAAAAUAAACGAGCAAAUCCCAUCACUUUUCCCUUAAAUCCACCUCGGACAGAAUCAGAACUCCAAGAAACUCCCAAAAUUCCAUGGCCCCUGCCCCACCCCACGUCCAGGAGUUGAUUUUCGGCGCGGAACCUCCCGGUCCGUGGGGUCCCCCCGUUCGGGAGCCGCGGCGGCGCCGAGCCCGGCGUCACCCCCGGCCCCCCGCUGUGCUUGCAGGACGUGUUCGAGAUGCGCUUUGCCAAGAUGCCGGACGAGCCGGAGGAGCCGGCCGUGCCCGCCUCGUCGCCGGUGGUGGUGCCACCUCCCACCAAGGUGGCGCCGCCCUCGUCCAGCGACAGCAGCAGCGACAGCUCCUCGGACAGCGACAGCUCCUCCGACGACUCCGAGGAGGAGCGGGCGCAGCGCUUGGCCGAGCUGCAGGAGCAGCUGAAGGCCGUGCACGAGCAGCUGGCGGCGCUGUCCCAGCCCCAGCAGAACAAACCAAAGAAGAAGGAGAAGGACAAGAAGGAGAAGAAGAAGGAGAAGCACAAAAAGAAGGAGGAGCUGGACGAGGCCAAGAAGAGCAAGGCCAAGGAGCCGCCGCCCAAGAAGGCCAAGAAGAGCAACAGCAGCAGCAGCAGCAGCGCCUCCAGCAAGAAGGAGCCGGCGCCGGUGAAGCCCAGCAAAGCCGCGCCCGCCUACGAGUCGGAGGAGGAGGAGAAGUGCAAGCCCAUGUCCUACGAGGAGAAGCGGCAGCUGAGCCUGGACAUCAACAAACUGCCCGGCGAGAAGCUUGGGCGCGUGGUGCACAUCAUCCAGUCCCGCGAGCCCUCGCUCAAGAACUCCAACCCCGACGAGAUCGAGAUCGACUUCGAGACGCUGAAGCCGUCGACGCUGCGCGAGCUCGAGCGCUACGUCACCUCCUGCCUGCGCAAGAAGAGGAAAGCCCCAGAGAAGCUCGACGUCCUGGCCGGCUCCUCCAAGCUCAAGGGAUUCUCCUCGUCGGAGUCGGAAUCCAGCAGCGAGUCGAGCUCUUCCGACAGCGACGAGUCGGACUCAGAGAUGGCGCCGAAGUUGAAGAAAAAAGGGCACUCGGGGCGGGAGCAGAAAAAGCACCACCACCACCACCACCAGCCGCCGCCGCAGCCGCCGCCGGCGCCGCCGCAGCCCGCGCCGCCGGCGCUGCAGCCGCCGCAGCCGCCGCCCGUCCCGCAGCCCGCGGCGCCGCUGAAGGCGUCGCCGCCGCCGCCCUUCGUCGCCGCGCCGGUGCCCGUCCUGGAGCACCCCUUGCCGGGGACCAUGUUCGACACCAUGGCCCACUUCGGCCAACCCAUCCUGCACCUGCCCCAGGCCGAGCUGCCCCCGCCCCACCUGCCCCCGGCGCCCGAGCACAGCCCCUCGCCCCACCUCAACCAGCACGUGGUGUCUCCUCCAGCUUUGCACAACGCUCUGCCUCAGCAGCCCUCGAGGCCCAGCAACCGCGCGGCGGCGCUGCCCCCGAAGCCGCCGCGGCCGCCGGCCCCGUCGCCGGCGCUGCC